rnacentral:rRNA from 1 species
UACGUAGGGUGCGAGCGUUGUCCGGAAUUAUUGGGCGUAAAGAGCUCGUAGGCGGUGUGUCACGUCGUUCGUGAAAACCUGCAGCUUAACUGUGGGCGUGCGGUCGAUACGGGCAUCACUGGAGUUCGGCAGGGGAGACUGGAAUUCCUGGUGUAGCGGUGAAAUGCGCAGAUAUCAGGAGGAACACCGGUGGCGAAGGCGGGUCUCUGGGCCGAUCACUGCGCUGAGGAGCGAAAGCCGGUGGGGAGCAAACAGGG